GAUGAACGCUGGCGGCGUGCCUAAUACAUGCAAGUCGAGCGAACGGACGAGAAGCUUGCUUCUCUGAUGUUAGCGGCGGACGGGUGAGUAACACGUGGAUAACCUACCUAUAAGACUGGGAUAACUUCGGGAAACCGUAGCUAAUACUGGAUAAUAUUUUGAACCGCAUGGUUCAAAAGUGAAAGACGGUCUUGCUGUCACUUAUAGAUGGAUCCGCGCUGCAUUAGCUAGUUGGUAAGGUAACGGCUUACCAAGGCAACGAUGCAUAGCCGACCUGAGAGGGUGAUCGGCCACACUGGAACUGGGACACGGUCCAGACUCCUACGGGAGGCAGCAGGAGGGAAUCUUCCGCAAUGGGCGAAAGCCUGACGGAGCAACGCCGCGUGAGUGAUGAAGGUCUUCGGAUCGUAAAACUCUGUUAUUAGGGAAGAACAUAUGUGUAAGUAACUGUGCACAUCUUGACGGUACCUAAUCAGAAAGCCACGGCUAACUACGU
rnacentral:rRNA from 1 species